rnacentral:tRNA from 1 species
CGGGCUGUGGCGCAGCUUGGUCAGCGCGCUGCGUUCGGGACGCAGAAGCCGCGGGUUCAAAUCCCGCCAGCCCGAC